ACCGCAAGAGCGGCGCGGCGGUGGCCGCCGCGGCGAGCACGGCGGAGCAGGACAACUACCUGCGGGAGCUGCUCACCGAGAAGCGGGAGACUAGCCACCGGCGGCGGCGCAGCAGCAGCGCCCGCUCCGGCGUGUGGCGGCCGCGGCUCGAGAGCAUUGCGGAGGAGCCCUCGGACUAGCAGCACCGGAGCCAUUUUCCUCUACCUUCCUUUUUCGAUCUCCCGUUGUGAUCUUGUGAAUAUGAAUGGUCGAUUGAUGAAGAGGCUUCUUGGUUCUCCGUCGGCUUGAUCUCCUGAGUUCUGAUGCAACUGUAAGACCAUGGUUAAUAGUAUAGCCAACGGCUGACUAUACAUCUUUUAGCUUAUUUUAUAGCUAGCUUAUAUAAUAGUUAUUUAUAAAAGAUUACUAUUUUUAUCAUGUAUGAUUCAUCUUU
rnacentral:lncRNA from 1 species